rnacentral:rRNA from 1 species
GACAGAGGUGCCGAGCGUUAGGCGGAAUCACUGGGCUUAAAGCGUGUGUAGGUGGAUGCCUAAGUACCUUGUGAAAUCCCACGGCUUAACCGUGGAACUGCUUGGUAUACUGGGGUGUCUUGAGCCAGCUAGGGGGCUACCCGGAACAAAUGGUGGAGCGGGUGAAAUGCGUAGAUACUGGGAGGAACACCAGUGGCGAAGGCGGCUACCUGGACCGGUUCUGACGCUGAGGCGCGAAAGCGUGGGUAGCAAACAGG